AACCUGGCGGCAGAAGCCGCCGCUGGUUACCGCACCCCAGCGCAGGACGGAGCCGUGCGCUGCCGGGCCCCAGCCGAGCGAGGGCGCGGGCAGGCGGCAACGGCAGCCGCGCUGCGCCCGGGGCUGCCGGCCGUUCGCCUUCCCGGGGAGGAUCAUCUGUCCUCGGCGCAGGCUCGCUGGGUCUCACGUACAAAGUGCCGCUCGCUGCCUUUCCCAGGGCCUGGCUGCAGUCCCCUGGAGCACCCCGAGUGCUUCCCGCCCACCCCUCACCGCAGCUCCGCACCUCCGAGGCGGCGGGGGGUGCGGGCCCCCGCGCCGGGGCAUCUCGCCAAAACGUCAUCGCCCCGCGGUAGCGCCCGCCGGGCCCUGCGGGGCUCCCAGGGUGAGCUCCUGCCCCAGGCGGCAGCCCUCAACCCGCAGGUGACGCUGGCGGGCGGCUCGUCCCUGCUCCUCGCCCCUUCCUGGAAACCCACGCGCUCUCCUGAGGGAAGCGCCGCCAGCGGCCGGCCCGGGCCCGGCGGGGAGGCCUGCGGGGAGACACCUGCCCGCGCUGGGGCGCACGCCCGCUCCGGCGCCCCGCCGGAGGCACCGGCUCGUCGGGAACGGGGACAAGCUCCCCCCGGGGACGCCGGCGCGCCCGCCCGCCCUCAGCACCCCGCCUGGCCCGAGGGCCGGCCUCAGCCCUGCCCCACCGUGUGUCCCGCCGACCGCCCCCCUCCCCCCCCGCUCCACGCACGUCAAAAGCAGCAGGACGGGCGGCCCCGGGCGCAAGCUGCUGGCACUUACCCCCACGGGGCGUCCGCUGGCGGGCGCGGGGCGACGGGGCCGGGCUGGCGGCUCAGCGGCGCGGCGCUGCGCUGGGCUGCGGGGCCGAGGCUGCGGCGGGCAGGAGGCGGAGUCUGGUCACAGGCUGCCCGGGCCCGGAGCUGCCCAUCCCCCAGCCAGGCCCUCCGCCCCCUCUACCUCCGUGGUCACCGGCGUUGCUUAACUCGGCGUCAAGCCGCUACCACUUUGUCCCCCCUGAAAGACGGAAUAUUUUUUUUAAGAAAAAAAAAAGGAAAGGCACCAGCUGCCGUACGCGCCACCGCCUCCACCGCGCAUGCGCCUCCCUCCUCCCGCGGCCGGCGUGGCGGGGGGGCAGAGGGGCGGGCCCGGCGGUAG
rnacentral:lncRNA from 1 species